rnacentral:rRNA from 1 species
UACGUAGGGUGCAAGCGUUGUCCGGAAUUAUUGGGCGUAAAGAGCUCGUAGGCGGUUUGUCGCGUCGGCUGUGAAAACUCGGGGCUCAACCCCGAGCCUGCAGUCGAUACGGGCAGACUAGAGUGCUGUAGGGAGACUGGAAUUCCUGGUGUAGCGGUGAAAUGCGCAGAUAUCAGGAGGAACACCGGUGGCGAAGGCGGGUCUCUGGGCAGUAACUGACGCUGAGGAGCGAAAGCGUGGGGAGCGAACAGG